GGUAGAUGACGUGCAUACUUAUAUAACGUAGGUAGAUGACGUGCAUACCUAUAUAAUGUAGGUAGAUGACGUGCAUACUUAUAUAACGUAGGUAGAUGACGUGCAUACCUAUAUAACGUAGGUAGAUGACGUGCAUACCUAUAUAACGUAGGUACAUGACGUGCAUACCUAUAUAACGUAGGUACAUGACGUGCAUACCUAUAUAACGUAGGUACAUGACGUGCAUACCUAUAUAACGUAGGUACAUGACGUGCAUACCUAUAUAACGUAGGUACAUGACGUGCAUACCUAUAUAACGUAGGUACAUGAUGUGCAUACCUAUAACGUAGGUACAUGAUGUAAGAACCUUUCAGCGAGACUACUCAAAGGCCAAAUCCAUUAUCGGCAAGAAUGGAAUUCAUUGCCCUUGACAACCGUUCUCUGUCGUGGGGGAUGUUGGCUUUCGCCGACUGGUCGAGCACCGGGUACAUACUACCGAGUGUGCUUUUUUUCAGAUGUUGCCCUACCGGAGUUACACAGUAAUAGAGUCACUGCUAUUAGCUUCACGACUGACAUUUGGACUAGCGAUAUCAGCCCCAUGAGCAUGCCAAGUCUGAUAGCACAGUGGGUCGACGAGGAUGUCGUAAUGUGGGAAGUCAUAUUUCCUACUCAUGAAUGUGCUGGUUGUCAUACUGCUGCUGCCAUUUCAAUGGCAUUUGAGAACAUGUUUGAAACAUGGAAACUUGAACACAGUAGCUAGCUCCAUUCAAAACAACUGACUGAAGAAAUAAGCUGAUCAACUGCAGCCGUGAUGCCCUCUGUCACAGCAUUGAAACACCUGCUCAACAAAACUGCCCACACAGGCUGUGAACAAGCGAGUCGGUGGCAUUCUCUUUACUGUGUCGCCACCAUGCUCGAUGCCAUGUACAAGGACUGCUACCUCCAUGCAAACAAGAGACAGGGGUUUAUGUGAAAUGUUACAUACACAGCUGGACAAGAAGGAAACAGAGACAGUGACAGUGGGCACCGAGGAAGAGAGGCCACAGACAGAGCUGAAACUUCACUGCUUGACAUCUAUGAUGAAAUCCUGGUUGAGAAUGAGACAAUUGAACAUAUGAACAGCAAGUAAGUGAAAGAAAUGAGGUUUGAUUAUGUUUUACUGGUAAUGGCAUGCAAAAAAAAAAAAAUCACUUCUGCCAGUGUGGUAACCUUUAUUUAACUAGGCAAGUCAGUUAAGAACAAAUUGUUAUUUACAAUGACAGCCAAAACCGGACACUGGGCCAAUUGUGCGCCGCCCUAUGGGACUCCCAAUCACGGCCGGAUGUGAUACAGCCUGGUUUCGAACCAGGGACUGUAGUGAUGCCUCCUACACUGAGAUGCAGUGCCUUAGACUGCUGCUUACAUGUGUGUUUUAUCUAUUUAACUGUACUAGAAUGCUUAAAAGGCCGCUAAAAUGUUAAAUAUCGGUAUUGGGUUUUUUUUGGCAAGGAAAAUAUUGGAUAUCGGUAUCGGCCAAAAAUGUCAUAUCGCUGCAUCACUACUUGAG